rnacentral:rRNA from 1 species
GAUGAACGCUGGCGGCGUGCCUAAUACAUGCAAGUCGAGCGAACAGAUGAGGAGCUUGCUCCUCUGACGUUAGCGGCGGACGGGUGAGUAACACGUGGAUAACCUACCUAUAAGACUGGGAUAACUUCGGGAAACCGGAGCUAAUACCGGAUAAUAUAUUGAACCGCAUGGUUCAAUAGUGAAAGACGGUUUUGCUGUCACUUAUAGAUGGAUCCGCGCCGCAUUAGCUAGUUGGUAAGGUAACGGCUUACCAAGGCAACGAAGCGUAGCCGACCUGAGAGGGUGAUCGGCCACACUGGAACUGAGACACGGUCCAGACUCCUACGGGAGGCAGCAGUAGGGAAUCUUCCGCAAUGGGCGAAAGCCUGACGGAGCAACGCCGCGUGAGUGAUGAAGGUCUUCGGAUCGUAAAACUCUGUUAUUAGGGAAGAACAAAUGUGUAAGUAACUAUGCACGUCUUGACGGUACCUAAUCAGAAAGCCACGGCUAACUACGUG